rnacentral:rRNA from 1 species
UAGGGAAUCUUCCACAAUGGGCGAAGCNGAUGGAGCAACGCCGCGUGUGUGAAGAAGGGUUUCGGCUCGUAAAACUCUGUUGUUAAAGAAGAACAUAUCUGAGAGUAACUGUUCAGGUAUUGACGGUAUUUAACCAGAAAGCCACGGCUAACUACGUGCCAG